rnacentral:piRNA from 1 species
UGCCAGGAGGGAGGUUGACCCGCCAGGUCC